ACAAUAUCGUCAGGGUAUAUAUUGUAACUAUAUUUUGGUAUUUUGAUAGUUAAAACUAAUUAACUGAUUGAAUUUGAAGAUGUUAAUUACAGUAGCUGUCAUCUAUUUUUUGGUACAGGCUGUGAGAACUGCAUCCCAACAGAUACGACUAGUUGGAGGAUCUGAACCACACGAAGGAAGAGUUGAAGUGUUUCAUCAAAAUAUAUGGGGCACAGUCUGUCAUCAUUCUUGGGACGAUAAAGAUGCGUCCGUUGUUUGUCGACAACUUGGAUUUAGCCCAACUGGGGCGGUUGCUCUCAAAUAUGCCAGUUUUGGACGAGGUACUGGUAAAAUCUGGUUAGAUAAUGUUAAUUGUCAAGCAUCUAACAUGGCACUAGCUGAAUGUUCUCAUCCUGGUUGGGGAAAAGCACGUUGUUAUUAUGGACAUGACGCGUCGGUGAUUU